rnacentral:rRNA from 1 species
UGGUAAUUCUUGAGCUAAUACACGCAAUCGAGCUCCGACCCGUAAGGGACGAGCGCAUUUAUUAGAACAAAACCAAUCGGUGUACCCUCGUGGUCACCGUCGGUUGGUGAAUCUGAAUAACUGAGCAGAUCGCUUCGGUCUUAGUACCGGCGACGUAUCUUUCAAGUGUCUGCCUUAUCAACUUUCGAUGGUAGUUUAUGUGCCUACCAUGGUUGUAACGGGUAACGGAGAAUAAGGGUUCGACUCCGGAGAGGGAGCCUGAGAAACGGCUACCACUUCUAAGGAAGGCAGCAGGCGCGCAAAUUACCCACUCUCGGCACGAGGAGGUAGUGACGAAAAAUAACGAGCCGGGUCUCUUUGAGAUCCGUCAUCGGAAUGAGAACAAUCUAAACCUUUUAACGAGGACCUAGCGGAGGGCAAGUCUGGUGCCAGCAGCCGCGGUAAUUCCAGCUCCGCCAGUGUAUAUCUAUGCUGCUGCGGUUAAAAAGCUCGUAGUUGGAUCUGCGUGCGUGGGAGCCGGUCCACCAGUUUGGUGCGAACUGGACUCCAGCACUUAAGCGCUGGUUUUCUCUUGGUGCCUUUAACCGGGUGCCCUGAGUGGCUAGCACGUUUACUUUGAAAAAAUUAGAGUGCUCAAUACAAGCGAUUCGCUUGAAUAGUGGUGCAUGGAAUAAUAGAAUAGGACCUUGGUUCUAUUUUGUUGGUUUUCGGAACGCGAGGUAAUGAUUAAGAGGGACAGACGGGGGCAUUCGUAUUGCAACGUUAGAGGUGAAAUUCUUGGAUCGUUGCAAGACGGCCUACUGCGAAAGCAUUUGCCAAGAAUGUUUUCAUUAAUCAAGAACGAAAGUUAGAGGUUCGAAGG